rnacentral:rRNA from 1 species
AUUGAACGCUGGCGGCAGGCCUAGCACAUGCAAGUCGAGCGGAUGAAGGGAGCUUGCUCCUGGAUUCAGCGGCGGACGGGUGAGUAAUGCCUAGGAAUCUGCCUGGUAGUGGGGGAUAACGUCCGGAAACGGGCGCUAAUACCGCAUACGUCCUGAGGGAGAAAGUGGGGGAUCUUCGGACCUCACGCUAUCAGAUGAGCCUAGGUCGGAUUAGCUAGUUGGUGGGGUAAAGGCCUACCAAGGCGACGAUCCGUAACUGGUCUGAGAGGAUGAUCAGUCACACUGGAACUGAGACACGGUCCAGACUCCUACGGGAGGCAGCAGUGGGGAAUAUUGGACAAUGGGCGAAAGCCUGAUCCAGCCAUGCCGCGUGUGUGAAGAAGGUCUUCGGAUUGUAAAGCACUUUAAGUUGGGAGGAAGGGCAGUAAGUUAAUACCUUGCUGUUUUGACGUUACCAACAGAAUAGGCACCGGCUAACUUCGUG